UUAUUGGGCGUAAAGGGAGCGCAGGCGGUGACUUAAGUCUGAUGUGAAAGCCACGGCUCAACCGUGGAAGGUCAUUGGAAACUGGGUCACUUGAGUGCAGAAGAGGAAAGUGAAUUCCAUGUGUAGCGGUGAAAUGCGUAGAUAUAUGGAGGAACACCAGUGGCGAAGGCGAUUUCUGGUCUGUAACUGACUCUGAGGCUCGAAAGCGUGGGGAGCAAACAGGAUUAGAUACCUGGUAGUCCACGCCGUAAACGAUGAGUGCUAAGUGUUGGAGGGUUUCCACCCUUCAGUGUGGAGUUAACGCAAUAAGCACUCCGCCUGGGGAGUACGGUCGCAAGACUGAAACUCAAAGAAUUGACGGGGACCCGCACAAGCGGUGGAGCAUGUGGUUUAAUUCGAAGCAACGCGAAGACCUUACCAGGUCUUGACAUCCCCUGCAUAACCUAGAGAUAGGUGAAGUCCUUCGGGACAGGAGACAGGUGGUGCAUGGUUGUCGUCAGCUCGUGUCGUGAGAUGUUGGGUUAAGUCCCGCACGAGCGCAACCCCUAUAAUUAGUUGCCAGCAUUCAGUUGGGGACUCUAGUUAGACUGCCGUGACAAACCGGAGGAAGGUGGGGAUGACGUCAAAUCAUCAUGCCCCUUAUGACCUGGGCACACACGUGCUACAAUGGAUGGUACAACGAGCAGCUAACCCGCGAGGGUAUGCGAAUCUCUAAAGCCAUUCUCAGUUCGGAUUGCAGGCUGCAACUCGCCUGCAUGAAGCCGGAAUCGCUGUAAUCGCGGAUCAGCACGCCGCGGUGAAUACGUUCCCGGGUCUUGCACUCACCGCCCGU
rnacentral:rRNA from 1 species